rnacentral:piRNA from 1 species
UGAAGCAGCCAGCACCAUCCAAUUAGUCCA